rnacentral:rRNA from 1 species
AAGACCUUGCACUUUUGGAGCGGCCGAUGUCUGAUUAGCUAGUUGGUGGGGUAAUGGCCUACCAAAGCUUCGAUCAGUAGCUGGUCUGAGAGGACGACCAGCCACACUGGGACUGAGACACGGCCCAGACUCCUACGGGAGGCAGCAGUGGGGAAUUUUGGACAAUGGGGGCAACCCUGAUCCAGCCAUGCCGCGUGAGUGAAGAAGGCCUUCGGGUUGUAAAGCUCUUUCAGCCGGAACGAAACGGUUACGGUUAACACCCGUGACUACUGACGGUACCGGAAGAAGAAGCACCGGCUAACUACGUGCCAGCAGCCGCGGUAAUACGUAGGGUGCGAGCGUUAAUCGGAAUUACUGGGCGUAAAGCGUGCGCAGGUGGUUUUGUAAGUCAGAUGUGAAAGCCCCGGGCUCAACCUGGGAACU